GAUGAACGCUGGCGGCGUGCCUAAUACAUGCAAGUCGAGCGAACAGACGAGGAGCUUGCUCCUCUGACGUUAGCGGCGGACGGGUGAGUAACACGUGGAUAACCUACCUAUAAGACUGGGAUAACUUCGGGAAACCGGAGCUAAUACCGGAUAAUAUAUUGAACCGCAUGGUUCAAUAGUGAAAGACGGUUUUGCUGUCACUUAUAGAUGGAUCCGCGCCGCAUUAGCUAGUUGGUAAGGUAACGGCUUACCAAGGCGACGAUGCGUAGCCGACCUGAGAGGGUGAGCGGCCACACUGGAACUGAGACACGGUCCAGACUCCUACGGGAGGCAGCAGUAGGGAAUCGUCCGCAAUGGGCGAAAGCCUGACGGAGCAACGCCGCGUGAGUGAUGAAGGUCUUCGGAUCGUAAAACUCUGUUAUUAGGGAAGAACAAAUGUGUAAGUAACUAUGCACGUCUUGACGGUACCUAAUCAGAAAGCCACGGCUAACUACGUG
rnacentral:rRNA from 1 species